GGCACACGCUGGGCUAUUCGAUGAUUAGACUUGUGUUUCUCUUUUGAUUCUCUUCUUUUCUCUUCCCUCCUCCUCCCCCAUCCUUUUCCUUCUUCCUUUGGCGUUGGUGGGGGCGGGAGGGAUGAGGUGUUAGGGAAGUGAGCAAGGCACCCUGAAAACAGCCCCCCGAUUCUACACAGUCAGAGUGGGGCCUGUGAGUGCACGCCGGGCAGAAGGGACAGACGUCCUGGGAAGCAGGCUUGGGGGUUUCAGUUCUGGGAAGGAGGUUGGAUUGAGUGGCCUUGAAGCUUCCUUCCCUUCCUCAGACACUGAGGGUCCUGGGGAGUUGUGUGGCUUUGCUCAUUCCAUGGUGAAGAUGCUCUGAGGGAGACCCUGUGCUGGACACGGGAUGUAGAGUGGGCAACACUGCCCUGUGUCACGGAGGGUGCAGCCUGGUGAGGGAAGCGCAUCCCCGUAGGUGACAAACAUGGGUAAGCGUGUGCAGACGUGGAGAGGGCGUGGGGUGAGGGAAGUGCAUCCCUGUGGGUGAGAAACAUGGGUAAGCGUGUGCAGACGUGGAGAGGGCGUGGGGUGAGG
rnacentral:lncRNA from 1 species